UAUAAUUACCAGCAACUGGCGCUGGGUAGGCAAAGCCCGGAGAAACUGCUGGAUGAGUCAUAGGGCCACAGCUUCUCAGACAACACCUAGGAGAUGCCACCCUUGGACUGGGAAUGUGCAAAGUGCCUGGGAUGGGAGAGGGAAGAGCAGCUCACUGAGGCCUGGCUGUGACUGCCCCACAACGAUGCCAGCAGUGCCCACAGCAGUCGCUAGAAAGUUGCUACCGUUGGCAUUCUACAGAGGAGGGAACUGAGGCAUGGAGCUGAGCAAGGACGUGAGGACCUCAACAGCGGGACAGUGGCAGCUCCUGACUGGGCAUCUGGGCACCCAGUGCUGGCCUGAGCUGUUGUGGCCGGCCCCAGAGACUACCCUCACCCCUGUGUUACUCACCACAGCUCCCUGUCAGCUCCAGCCCCAGCCCCGCUGUCCAGAUGAACAGAUGAAGCAAGGGUCCAGGAGCUAGGAAGCAGCCUAGACGUGUCCAUCUGGAGAAUCCAGCUUCUGACAGCUGUGUGACAAAGCUGCUUGGGACCACCCCUCCCGUGUCCCUUUGAUGGGUGCCCACCACACUCCCUCCUGUUACCCAGCCUUCUCUCCUGAGCCUACCCAAUGGUUUCCUUACUUCCCUGGAAAUUGGAUGGCAGUUGGCCAAUGCGUGUGUA